AAAGUACUCCCUCCGUCCAACAAAAGAUGUCUGAAGUUUGUCAAAAUUUGAAUGUAUCUAGAUAUGACUUGGUGUAUAGAUUCAUUCAAAUUUAAUCAAAAUUGAGACAUUUUUUGUUGGACCGAGGAAUACUUA
rfam:Brachypodium distachyon strain Bd21 chromosome 5, whole genome shotgun sequence.